GCCAGCAGCCGCGGUAAUACGGAGGGUGCGAGCGUUAAUCGGAAUAACUGGGCGUAAAGGGCACGCAGGCGGACUUUUAAGUGAGGUGUGAAAGCCCCGGGCUUAACCUGGGAAUUGCAUUUCAGACUGGGAGUCUAGAGUACUUUAGGGAGGGGUAGAACUCCACGUGUAGCGGUGAAAUGCGUAGAGAUGUGGAGGAAUACCGAAGGCGAAGGCAGCCCCUUGGGAAUGUACUGACGCUCAUGUGCGAAAGCGUGGGGAGCAAACAGGAUUAGAUACCCUGGUAGUCCACGCUGUAAACGAUGUCGAUUUGGGGGUUGAACUUUAGGUUUGGCGCCCGUAGCUAACGUGAUAAAUCGACCGCCUGGGGAGUACGGCCGCAAGGUUAAAACUCAAAUGAAUUGACGGGGGCCCGCACAAGCGGUGGAGCAUGUGGUUUAAUUCGAUGCAACGCGAAGAACCUUACCUACUCUUGACAUCCAGAGAACAUUCCAGAGAUGGAUUGGUGCCUUCGGGAACUCUGAGACAGGUGCUGCAUGGCUGUCGUCAGCUCGUGUUGUGAAAUGUUGGGUUAAGUCCCGCAACGAGCGCAACCCUUAU
rnacentral:rRNA from 1 species